GGCUGGGUCUGAAAAUUAAGUUGACAAAGACAGAUUAAGAGGAGCACAUGCAAAUUUAAGUUUUACAUUACAUGGGAGCCUUUGUAAAUAAAUGAAGCAGUGGCUAAAUCUGAGUAUUUCAAUGCUAGAUUUGAUAAGCAAUGGGUCAUUGUAGAGAAAUAUAAGGCAAAGAGUAUGAGGUGAUUUCUUAUCUGGAGUUAUUUCUGGUGUUAGAAGUCUGUCUUUCCUGAUGGUGACUUUGAGGGAAGAGAUUUAUGACAGUUCAAAUCUUUAAGGAGGCUCUGCAGAUAAUGGAAAUAAAAGGACAAACUCUUAAGUG